rnacentral:piRNA from 1 species
UGUUGUUUGUGGCAGUGCCUCACUGGUGGUC